AAAUCUGUUGGAAAACAUUCUCCAAAUCUAUUUUGGUACACUAACGUUAAUCUAUUCUAUUUUAUUAAGCAUAUUGUUUAAUUUCAUAUUUCAAAUUAUUCUAUUUUAUUAAGCAUUUCUUGAAAUGUAAGAGGUACAAAAAAUAAAAAAUUAAGUACAAUCGCUUAUUGCUAAUCUCCCCAAUAUGACUAAUAAUUAAUCCUUGUCAAAAAAUAAGAAAAAAAUAACAUGAAAAGAAGAUCAGAAGUUAAUUUGGAAUCCCGUAUUCCCCUCAAUGAUGGUUAAUUUCAUAUUUCAAAUUAACCACAAUUAUCUCCCUCCAUUACUCAGUUUUUCGUCUAUAAAUAAUAUACCCAUCUUUUCUUGCAUAGUCACCUCCAUCUCCAGAAUUGCACAAAAUUUGCAGAGAUAACAAUGGCUUCAAAGUCGACAUACCAUACAUGUCGUUUGCAAAGAGAUGUCGAAAGAAUGACCAUUAAUGGUUGAUACGGUUUCAUGUAGAAGAAUUAAUCUACUCUAAGAGUAAAAGCAACAUUUUCUCAUCCACAACCAUUGUAACCGCGUCAAAUGUCACCAGAAAGAUUGGUGUUGGUUGGAUGGUAUUUUCCAUUGGUAUUUACCAAAGGUAUCUCAACUCCUGCUACUAGACAUCUUUAUGUCUAAACAAAACCUAAGAUGUAAGUGAAUUUAUACUAAAUAUUUUAGAUUUUCUUUUAUCAAUUUAAUUAGUUUAUUAAAUCUUUUGAUCUUAUUUCAAGAAGCUUUUACUCUAAGGUGGUGACCAAGUUGUAUAUAUAGAUAAUGUAUAGGUUUAGAUGGAAUUUAUGCAAUGAAUUGAAUUUUUUCUCAAA